GGGGUUAGUGGCGCACGGGUGCGUAACGCGUGGGAACCUGCCCUUAGGUUCGGAAUAACAGUUAGAAAUGACUGCUAAUACCGGAUAAUGUCUUCGGACCAAAGAUUUAUCGCCUUUGGAUGGGCCCGCGUAGGAUUAGGUAGUUGGUGGGGUAAAAGCCUACCAAGCCGACGAUCCUUAGCUGGUCUGAGAGGAUGAUCAGCCACACUGGGACUGAGACACGGCCCAGACUCCUACGGGAGGCAGCAGUGGGGAAUAUUGGACAAUGGGCGAAAGCCUGAUCCAGCAAUGCCGCGUGAGUGAUGAAGGCCUUAGGGUUGUAAAGCUCUUUUGCCAGGGAUGAUAAUGACAGUACCUGGAGAAUAAGCUCCGGCUAACUCCGUGCCAGCAGCCGCGGUAAUACGGAGGGAGCUAGCGUUGUUCGGAAUUACUGGGCGUAAAGCGCACGUAGGCGGCUUUUCAAGUCAGGGGUGAAAUCCCGGGGCUCAACCCCGGAACUGCCCUUGAAACUGGAUGGCUAGAAUACUGGAGAGGUGAGUGGAAUUCCGAGUGUAGAGGUGAAAUUCGUAGAUAUUCGGAAGAACACCAGUGGCGAAGGCGACUCACUGGACAGUUAUUGA
rnacentral:rRNA from 1 species